UGGAGAGUUGAAGAAACAAAGAAAAAAAGAAGACACUUUGGAAGAAAAACAAAGGGCCAAUUUCGGCCAAGCUUGGAGGAAACAAGAACCUUGGAAAAAUUUCUCAAAAAUUACUCUCUACUAAUUGGAAGGUCCCUAGCAAGGAGAAGAGGUCAUUGGAACAAGUAGAACAUUUAUUGUUGCAAGAUCAACAUUCUAGCCAAGUGGGAAAUUGAAGAAAAAGGAUUUUGGCGGAUUUGGAACGUGAAUUUGGAGUCGCAUAAGAAGCAGAAAAGGUACACCAGAUGAGCCACAGCUAUCAUAGAAGGUGUUCCAGCGGAGUUGGCAGGCUCCACUUGUUCUGGAGUGCUGCCGAGUCAGAGUAUCUGAGCCAUGAUGUUUGUUUGAUGUUAGAGACUUUGCAGACAGAGUC